AGUCCUUCGCCGUCCCUCGCCGUCCUUCGCCAUCGCACGCCACCGCACCCCAUCUCUCGAAAUCUGCAGACAUCUUGAUUUUUCCCACGCUGUCUGUCAGGUCUCCGCCGCCACUCGACGCCAGGGCGCCGGGUGAGUCCACAGCAGGGCGCAUGGUCGGCUCCACUCUCACCAUCGGGGGAAACUGAGGCCCCGGGGAAGGCGGCCAGAGAGGUCAGGCCCUGUCCUUGGUGCAGUGUCUCGUCCUCUUUGCCGGAGUGAGCCCCCCAGGAUUCGCGUGUCCUCGGGAAAGACACUGGCAGGCCUUGUGGGCUGUGCUGCACCUCGGACGGCUUCGCACCAGCCAGCGCCCUCUCUCUCCUGCAGCACUCUGAUCUGCACCCCCUGAGGGGCUUCCACUGUCCGCGGGGUGAGAAUGCCCCUGGGAGUGUCACAUGACUGCCGCCCCAUGUGUGUGAGAGGCGUCCUCUGGGAGAGCAUGGAUCCUGAGGUCCCAGGAUUGUCAGCUGACCUCUGUCCUGUGUGCCCAGUGGCCCCAGGUGACGUGUCUUCAAGAAGAGGCUGAGCUGCGGUGCUUGUAAGGGUCUCAUUCUGUCACCCAGGCUGGAGUGCAGUGGUGCAAUGAUGGCUCACUGCAGCCUCGACCUGGGCUCAAGUGAUCCUCCACCUCAGCUUCCUGAGUAGCUGGGACCACAGAGUCAUGUGCUGUUCCUGGGGCUUGGAUGAUGUAGGGGAAGCAAGGUGAAAGUGGUAUCCCGUGGUUCCACGUUCUGUCCUGCUGUGGGGCUGUCCCUCACAUGCUUUCAGUGGCUGUUGCAGAGGAAGAGCCUCCGGAAAUCUGCGUCUCAGCCUUAGAUCCAAGGACAGUCCAAGGAAGUCCUAAGACCAUGGAGUUGGUGAUCUGGGAUCUGGGUUUGCUGAUAUUUCUCACCGUGAAUCUCUUGGUGGUGUUUGUGGGCACGAGAGGGGCAGAGAAUGGAGAGUGAGGCUACCACAUGAAGCGUCACCAGAGCUGCUCCCUGCUGCCUGCUCAGAGCACCCCGGAUCCACUGUUCAAUCUGCACAAGAUUCGGGGUCCAGACAUGGGAGACUUCAGCUGCCUCAGAGGACCGUGGACAGGGAAGGCCAGCCUCGCAUCCCUCUGUCCAUGCCUGGAAUGACUUUAAUAACCAAGAGUUUUAUUUUUGAAUUUGUAGCUGUCGUUCACUUUUUACCCACCCAUUCAAUAAACCUUACAGAAUUG
rnacentral:lncRNA from 1 species